rnacentral:rRNA from 1 species
GACGAAGGAUGCAAGCGUUAUCCGGAUUCAUUGGGUUAAAGGGAGCGUAGGCGGAUUUGUAAGUCAGUGGUGAAAUCUCCGGGCUCAACCCGGAAACUGCCAUUGAUACUGCAGGUCUAGAGUACAGUUGCCGUUGGCGGAAUAUGACAUGUAGUGGUGAAAUACUUAGAUAUGUCAUAGAACACCGAUUGCGAAGGCAGCUUGCUAAACAAAUAUUGACGCUGAGGCACGAAAGCGUGGGGAUCAAACAGG